GAUGAACGCUGGCGGCGUGCCUAAUACAUGCAAGUCGAGCGAACGGACGAGAAGCUUGCUUCUCUGAUGUUAGCGGCGGACGGGUGAGUAACACGUGGAUAACCUACCUAUAAGACUGGGAUAACUUCGGGAAACCGGAGCUAAUACCGGAUAAUAUUUUGAACCGCAUGGUUCAAAAGUGAAAGACGGUCUUGCUGUCACUUAUAGAUGGAUCCGCGCUGCAUUAGCUAGUUGGUAAGGUAACGGCUUACCAAGGCAACGAUGCAUAGCCGACCUGAGAGGGUGAUCGGCCACACUGGAGCUGAGACACGGUCCAGACUCCUACGGGAGGCAGCAGUAGGGAAUCUUCCGCAAUGGGCGAAAGCCUGACGGAGCAACGCCGCGUGAGUGAUGAAGGUCUUCGGAUCGUAAAACUCUGUUAUUAGGGAAGAACAGAUGUGUAAGUAACUGUGCACAUCUUGACGGUACCUAAUCAGAAAGCCACGGCUAACUACGUG
rnacentral:rRNA from 1 species